AGUGAACGCUGGCGGCAUGCCUAACACAUGCAAGUCGAACGGACGCACGGUGAGCUCUCUCUCUUGCGGGUGGCGACUGGCGGAUGGGUGAGACGUACAUCGCCUUCUACUUUUUCUGGGGUGACAACGUGGGGCCACAUACGCUAACAGCGCAUACGUCCAACGGGAGGGAUCAGUGGAUCUUCGGAGCUUUGCUGAUUCUAAUAGCUGAUCCCGGGUCGGAUUAGCUAGUUGGUAAGGUAACGGCCUACCAAGGCGACGAUACGUAGCUGGUCUGAGAGGGUGAUCAGCCACACUGGAACUGAGACACGGUCCAGACUCCUACGGGAGGCAGCAGUGGGGAAUAUUGGACAAUGGGCGAAAGCCUGAUCCAGCCAUGCCGCGUGAGUGAAGAAGGCCUUCGGAUUGUAAAGCCCUUUUAUUGGGGAAGAAAAGCAGUAGGUUAAUACGCCGAUGUUUUGACGGUACCCAAAGAAUAAGCACCGGCUAACUUCGUG
rnacentral:rRNA from 1 species